UACGAAGGGGACUAGCGUUGUUCGGAAUUACUGGGCGUAAAGCGCACGUAGGCGGAUUUGUUAGUCAGGGGUGAAAUCCCGGGGCUCAACCUCGGAACUGCCUUUGAUACUGCAAAUCUCGAGUCCGAUAGAGGUGGGUGGAAUUCCUAGUGUAGAGGUGAAAUUCGUAGAUAUUCGCAAGAACACCAGUGGCGAAGGCGGCUCACUGGCCCGGUACUGACGCUGAGGUGCGAAAGCGUGGGGAGCAACAGGG
rnacentral:rRNA from 1 species